rnacentral:rRNA from 1 species
UCGGGAAUAUUGCGGCAAUGGAGGAAACUCUGACGCAGUGACGCCGCGUAUAGGAAGAAGGUUUUCGGAUUGUAAACUAUUGUCGUUAGGGAAGAGAAAGGACAGUACCUAAGGAGGAAGCUCCGGCUAACUACGUGCCAGCAGCCGCGGUAAUACGUAGGGAGCGAGCGUUAUCCGGAAUUAUUGGGUGUAAAGGGUGCGUAGACGGGAAGAUAAGUUAGUUGUGAAAUCCCUCGGCUUAACUGAGGAACUGCAACUAAAACUGUUUUUCUUGAGUGCAGGAGAGGUAAGUGGAAUUCCUAGUGUAGCGGUGAAAUGCGUAGAUAUUAGGAGGAACACCAGUGGCGAAGGCGACUUACUGGACUGUAACUGACGUUGAGGCACGAAAGUGUGGGGAGCAAACAGGAUUAGAUACCCUGGUAGU